UGGGUCGACCAGGCGGCCGCGUUGGCUCGGGGUCGAAAGAUGCCGCAGCCACCGAGGAACGUCCGGGCUCCGCAGAGCAGGGUGGUGGGUAACGCCCACUCGGGGUAACCCGCAGGCCAGUGCCACAGAGAACAGACCGCUUCCCGGGCCCUCGUGGCCGGAGGAAGUAAGGGUGAAAAGGUGGUGUAAGAGACCACCAGCGUGCCGGGUGACCGGCAUGGCUCGGUAAACCCCACCCGGAGCAAGGCCAGACAGGGCGCGUUUGAGGGCUGCUCGCCCGAGUGUCCGGGUAGGCCGCUGGAGGGCGUCGGCAACGGCGUUCGUAGAUGGAUGGCCGCCGCUCCCGCCCCGGCAACGGAGCGGGAGAACAGAACCCGGCGUACCGGUCGGCCCAUCCC
rnacentral:RNase_P_RNA from 1 species